GACGAACGCUGGCGGCGUGCCUAACACAUGCAAGUCGAACGAAGAAUUGGAAGCUUGCUUUUGAUUCUUAGUGGCGGACGGGUGAGUAACGCGUGAGAAACCUGCCUUUCAGAGGGGGAUAACGUUUGGAAACGAACGCUAAUACCGCAUAAUGCAGCGAGGUCGCAUGACCAUGCUGCCAAAGGAGCAAUCCGCUGAAAGAUGGUCUCGCGUCCGAUUAGCUAGUUGGUGAGAUAACAGCCCACCAAGGCGACGAUCGGUAGCCGGACUGAGAGGUCGAACGGCCACAUUGGGACUGAGACACGGCCCAAACUCCUACGGGAGGCAGCAGUGGGGAAUAUUGCACAAUGGGGGAAACCCUGAUGCAGCAACGCCGCGUGAAGGAGACGGUUUUCGGAUUGUAAACUUCUAUCGACAGGGAAGAAAGAAAUGACGGUACCUGAAUAAGAAGCCCCGGCUAACUACGUG
rnacentral:rRNA from 1 species